AGGCCAGUAGCUCAACUAGGGAGAGCACCGGUCUCCAAAACCGGGGGUUGCGGGUUCGAUUCCUGCCUGGCCUGCCU
rnacentral:tRNA from 1 species